rnacentral:rRNA from 1 species
ACUCCUACGGGAGGCAGCAGUGAGGAAUAUUGCACAAUGGGCGCAAGCCUGAUGCAGCGACGCCGCGUGAGGGAUGACGGCCUCCGGGUUGUAAACCUCUUUCAGUAGGGACGAGGCGCAAGUGACGUUACCUGCAGAAUAAGCACCGGCUAACUCCGUGCCAGCAGCCGCGGUAAU